CCACGCUGCUUCCCUCUCCCGAUUUCCCCCGACCCCGAGCCCUAACCGGCGCCGAACUCCCUCUCCCUCUCCGCGUACAAAAUCUCUCGGCCAAGGGCUUUCCCUUCUUUCGGUCUCCACCCUCUCGGCGCGAAGUUUCCGUGCCCGAGCCAGCCCCGGCCGACCGGCGACUUCCCCUCCUUUCCUUUGGUCCGACGAGACACCACCGGCACCGGAGCCCUAGGUUUUCCCUUCUCCUUCACCACCUCGCGGCGACUCCUUGCAUUGCCUUGCCUCUUCGUUUGCUGUCGCCGAAGGUGUGCCCUUGCCAGAUCCCUCUGCCGAAGCUUCUCCCUGUCCCUUCCUCUCUUCCGGCCGAGCAGUGUCACCAGUCUCCUGAGCCCUAGCGCCAACCGUCGUGCCUUAAUUCAUGACCGCCGCCCCUCUGCUGCAAUUUGGCAGCACGACCAUCACUGGUGAGCCUUGUCUGCCGACCUCAACAGCCCUUUCGGUGACUGCUGUUUGGGGUGAGGUGUUAAUGGUGGAUGGAGGAUAGAUUCAUCAUGGGUUUGGUUUCGGACCGGAGAAAAUAGUGCCAAAUCCUUUAUUGUGUUUCUGCUCGACAGUGCCGAAGAGGACACAGAGCUAUGCCGUAGCCGGAUCUUGGAGUGAAGAAUUUUCAGCAGCCAACGUCCCUUAAUGGCAGCAAGUUCCAGCCAGCAAUUCUUUGGUUUCAGUACAAACCGGUGGCUGUGAAUUAAGGACUUUGACACGAGACGAGCAUCUCGAUGUUGGAUUUGACUGGAUUGAACCUGCUAUUGGAGGCGGGUACCUCUUGACUUAUCUUUUAUGAUAUUGUCUUUGGAUAUGCAUAGUACUUUAUAGCUGCAAGCAAUGAACAUGUUUGCCUUGGUAUGUCACGGUUUGAUACCCAUAGCAUGAUCUGUUGGCCAUUUGUUAUGUAUCUAUGUUUACGUUUUAUGAUUAUUGCCAUGAGUACCUUAGUUCCUAGAGUAAGUGACAUACCAUAC